CAGCCGCCACGGUAAUACGUAGGGUGCAAGCGUUGUCCGGAAUCAUUGGGCGUAAAGCGCGCGUAGGUGGCCAUUUAAGUCCGCUGUGAAAGUCAAAGGCUCAACCUUUGAAAGCCGGUGGAUACUGGAUGGCUAGAGUACGGAAGAGGCGAGUGGAAUUCCUGGUGUAGCGGUGGAGUGCGCAGAUAUCAGGAGGAACACCAAUAGCGAAGGCAGCUCGCUGGGACGUUACUGACACUGAGGCGCGAAAGCGUGGGGAGCAAACAGGAUUAGAUACCCCCGUAGUCCCUGUCUCUUAUAC
rnacentral:rRNA from 1 species